CACGUAGGGCGCAAGCGUUGUCCGGAAUUAUUGGGCGUAAGGAGCUCGUAGGCGGUCUGUUACGUCUGCUGUGAAAACCCAGGGCUUAACCCUGGGCUUGCAGUGGAUACGGGCAGACUAGAGGCAGGUAGAGGAGAAUGGAAUUCCCGGUGUAGCGGUGAAAUGCGCAGAUAUCGGGAGGAACACCAGUAGCGAAGGCGGCACCCUGGGCCGGUACUGACGCUGAGGAGCGAAAGCGUGGGGAGCAAACAGG
rnacentral:rRNA from 1 species